CACACAUUGUAUGGCCACCUUCACAGCUCCUGAAGCUGCACAAGAAGCAGUUCUUAUCUAAUCACUCUGGGUUUUUCCUCUUGCUUUUGCUUUCAGUAUGACAAACUCCUAGUAUGACAAAAGGAACAAGAAGACUUUCAGGACGCUCAGCACCAGAUUUGCAGCCCACUUCUAGAGAAGCCUGCAUUUUAAUAUUGAAACAGCUAUCACUGCACAAACCAGGUGAGAAGAGAUUAAGGAAAUGUAAUCGGAUCACAAGCCAACAAGAAGUCUCGGAAAUUCAGUGAGCAGCACGCAAAACCUGCCUAAAUCAGGAGUAACAAGAAGAGCAGAAGCCAUACUAACCAAGAGUAUGUACAAGAGACUGAGGAAAGCUGGAAACAGCCAGGUUUAAAUGAUCCAAAUAAAGAAAAUUCUCAUCACACUAGCACUGACCCAGUGCGUCCGCAUAGACGCAGUAGACUAAUCAUGAUAACCGAAUUAGCAGGGACAGUUAGUUCUUUGGAAUAAUCAAAAUGUGCAACAUGUAUGAACACAUGCUCAAUCCAUGAAUGACCGCUUUCCUCCUUCAUGCAGCAGAGAUGGAGACUUGCAGUUACAAGGUAGAAAGACCUGAAUUAGGGUCUGAGCUACAUCCUUUCCUGGCAAUAUGACAGUCACUGAGAAUACCUGUUUCUCAAUUUUACACAUGUGAAAUGGGAAACACAUUAAGGGAAUGAUUAAAAGGAUGGUUUUAUUUUAUUUUAUUUUACUUUUUUUAGGUACCAGGAAUUGAACUCAGGACUUCACACUUGCUAGGUGGGCACUGGGUCACUGAGCUAAAUCCUCAGCCCAAAUACUUUAAAAACUGUAAAAAAAUUAGCUUUUAUGUAUUGCAUAGACAUGUGGAAACGUUGACUUUAUAAUUAUUUCCUAUCCGGGUGGCUUUGGGUAGAGUUGGUAACGUACCCUGAAAUUUGUUUUCUUUGAUAGAGUAGUUUGAAACUAAAAGUAUGAGAUAACUGCCUGAUAAACAUUUUAUUUUCCCUGGUGUUGGAGUCUCAAAAGGAAUUAGACUUUUUCCCAACUGUCCCAAAUGGUGUUUUCUUAGAUACCCAGAAAGAUCUCUGGUUUUCUAUCGGGGAGAUAGGAGUUCAUUUGUCCAAUCACUUACCCACUGGGCUUUUGUAGAUAUUUGGGCCUGCACACCUCCAUUCUAGGGAGACUUCACUGAAUAUUAGCUGGCUUUCAUGCUCUUGCUCAUCCACACAGUAUAUUUAGUUGCCAAAUUUUUGGUUCCAUUCCUUCAACUCAGUACCUUCUCUAUAAUCCUACUUCUGCUUCCUUAUAUUCUGCUCACAUUACCUCUUGCUUUGUCUACUGCAAUCUCCUAUUUGGUCUCCUUGCUUUCAGGAUUUCCUCAUUGUAAUCCAUCCUAUGCAUCACUUCUAGAUAGAGUGUGUCUCUGAAAUAAUGUCAUAUUUUGCCUCAAAGUAAUGCACUAUUUUCAAAUUCCUUGGCGAAUUAAAUAUGGGUAUUCUAAGAUGAUACUCAAGGCCCUCUAUUUAAUGUCCAUGUAUUAGAGACCACUAGUUUGUUCAGUCCCUUCUCCAUAAUAUUCUGUUUUCUGCUGAAUAGUAGCCAGAUGCAUGUCUAAACAGAACUACAUUUCCCAGCCUCCCUUUUAGUAAAGAGUGGUAAUGUGACCUAAUUCUGCCAAUGAUAUGUGGAAGCACCAUAGGAGGAAGUUCCAGGCCUUUUGUCUCCCUUUCCUCCCUCCUGCCAGUGGGGAUGCAGAAGUGCUGGCUGCCAUCUUGAACCAUAUAAGGUGGAAGCCAGGUGCUAAAGAUGGCAGAGCAACAACGUACUUGUCCCCUGGUCAUGCAGAGUCCACAUCAGUCCUGCAUAGACAUCUUGUGGCUGUGCUAACCUUGAAAACUAUCCCCCAAAGCUUAUGUAUUGGAAACAUAAUCUCCCAAUUCAUAUGUUACUGGUAUUUGUAGGUGAGGCCUUUGAAAGUAAUUAGAAUUGGGUGGAAUCAUAAGAGUGAGGCCACCAUUAUAAUAUUGGU